UACGUAGGUGGCAAGCGUUGUCCGGAAUUAUUGGGCGUAAAGCGCGCGCAGGCGGCCUUUUAAGUCUGAUGUGGAAUCUUGCGGCUCAACCGCAAGCGGCCAUUGGAAACUGGGAGGCUUGAGUACAGAAGAGGAGAGUGGAAUUCCACGUGUAGCGGUGAAAUGCGUAGAUAUGUGGAGGAACACCAGUGGCGAAGGCGACUCUCUGGUCUGUAACUGACGCUGAGGCGCGAAAGCGUGGGGAGCAAACAGG
rnacentral:rRNA from 1 species